rnacentral:rRNA from 1 species
CUUAAGCAUAUCAAUAAGCGGAGGAAAAGAAACCAACAGGGAUUGCCUCAGUAACGGCGAGUGAAGCGGCAAGAGCUCAAAUUUGAAAGCUGGCCCCUUCGGGGUCCGCGUUGUAAUUUGCAGAGGAUGCUUCGGGUGCAGCCCCCGUCUAAGUGCCCUGGAACGGGCCGUCAUAGAGGGUGAGAAUCCCGUCUGGGACGGGGUGUCUGCGUCCGUGUGAAGCUCCUUCGACGAGUCGAGUUGUUUGGGAAUGCAGCUCUAAAUGGGUGGUAAAUUUCAUCUAAAGCUAAAUACUGGCCGGAGACCGAUAGCGCACAAGUAGAGUGAUCGAAAGAUGAAAAGCACUUUGAAAAGAGAGUUAAACAGCACGUGAAAUUGUUGAAAGGGAAGCGUUUGCGACCAGACUCGCCCGCGGGGUUCAGCCGGCAUUCGUGCCGGUGUACUUCCCCGUGGGCGGGCCAGCGUCGGUUUGGGCGGCCGGUCAAAGGCCCUCGGAAUGUAUCACCUCUCGGGGUGUCUUAUAGCCGAGGGUGCAAUGCGGCCUGCCUGGACCGAGGAACGCGCUUCGGCUCGGACGCUGGCGUAAUGGUCGUAAAUGACCCGUCUUGAAACACGGACCAAGGAGUCUAACAUCUACGCGAGUGUUCGGGUGUCAAACCCGUACGCGCAGUGAAAGCGAACGGAGGUGGGAGCCCCCUCGCGGGGCGCACCAUCGACCGAUCCUGAUGUCUUCGGAUGGAUUUGAGUACGAGCGUAGCUGUGGGGACCCGAAAGAUGGUGAACUAUGCCUGAAUAGGGCGAAGCCAGAGGAAACUCUGGUGGAGGCUCGCAGCGGUUCUGACGUGCAAAUCGAUCGUCAAAUUUGGGUAUAGGGGCGAAAGACUAAUCGAACCAUCUAGUAGCUGGUUCCUGCCGAAGU